rnacentral:rRNA from 1 species
AGGGGGACCUUCGGGCCUCUUGCCAUCGGAUGUGCCCAGAUGGGAUUAGCUAGUAGGUGGGGUAACGGCUCACCUAGGCGACGAUCCCUAGCUGGUCUGAGAGGAUGACCAGCCACACUGGAACUGAGACACGGUCCAGACUCCUACGGGAGGCAGCAGUGGGGAAUAUUGCACAAUGGGCGCAAGCCUGAUGCAGCCAUGCCGCGUGUAUGAAGAAGGCCUUCGGGUUGUAAAGUACUUUCAGCGGGGAGGAAGGGAGUAAAGUUAAUACCUUUGCUCAUUGACGUUACCCGCAGAAGAAGCACCGGCUAACUCCGUGCCAGCAGCCGCGGUAAUACGGAGGGUGCAAGCGUUAAUCGGAAUUACUGGGCGUAAAGCGCACGCAGGCGGUUUGUUAAGUCAGAUGUGAAAUCCCCGGGCUCAACCUGGGAACUGCAUCUGAUACUGGCAAGCUUGAGUCUCGUAGAGGGGGGUAGAAUUCCAGGUGUAGCGGUGAAAUGCGUAGAGAUCUGGAGGAAUACCGGUGGCGAAGGCGGCCCCCUGGACGAAGACUGAC